GAUGAACGCUAGCGGCAGGCCUAAUACAUGCAAGUCGAACGGUGUCUCGGACAUAGUGGCGCACGGGUGCGUAACACGUAUGCAACCUACCUUACAUUGGGGGAUAGCCUUUCGAAAGGGAGAUUAAUACCGCAUAAGACAGUAGCUGGGCAUCCAGCAGCUGUUAAAGAUUUAUCGAUGUAAGCUGGGCAUGCGUCCAAUUAGCUAGUUGGUGAGGUAACGGCUCACCAAGGCAAUGAUUGGUAGGGGAACUGAGAGGUCAAUCCCCCACACUGGCACUGAGAUACGGGCCAGACUCCGACGGGAGGCAGCAGUAGGGAAUAUUGGGCACUGGACGCAAGUCUGACCCAGCCAUGCCGCGUGCAGGAUGAAGGCGUUAUGCGUUGUAAACUGCUUUUAUACAGGAAGAAACGACUCUUGCGAGAGGCAUUGACGGUACUGUAUGAAUAAGCACCGGCUAACUCCGUGCCAGCCGCCGCGGUAAGAC
rnacentral:rRNA from 1 species